CAAUUCAUUCUCCACCUCCUCCAUACAAGUAUUCAUCACCUCCACCACCACAUAAGAAGCCAUACAAAUACUCAUCCCCACCACCACCUGUUUAUAAGUACAAGUCACCUCCUCCUCCUGUUCAUUCACCUCCUCCUCCCUAUAAGUAUCUCUCACCACCACCACCUGUGCAUUCUCCUCCCCCACCAUACUAUUACAAAUCUCCACCACCACCAAAGAAGGAAUAUAAGUACCCAUCUCCACCACCACCUGUUUACAAGUAUCAGUCUCCUCCUCCACCGGUCCAUUCUCCUCCUCCUCCUUACAAGUAUCCAUCUCCACCACCACCGGUGCAUUCUCCUCCUCCACCGUAUUAUUACAAAUCUCCACCACCACCAAAGAAAGAAUACAAGUAUCCAUCUCCACCACCACCUAUUUACAAGUAUAAGUCUCCUCCUCCCCCAGUCCAUUCUCCUCCUCCUCCUUACAAAUACUCAUCUCCACCACCACCGGUGCAUUCUCCUCCCCCUCCAUACUAUUACAAAUCUCCACCACCACCAAAGAAAGAAUACAAAUACUCAUCUCCACCACCACCUGUUUACAAGUAUAAGUCUCCUCCACCUCCCGUUCACUCACCACCUCCACCACACUAUGUCUAUGCAUCACCACCUCCACCACACUAUGUCUAUGCAUCACCACCUCCACCACACUAUGUCUAUGCAUCACCACCUCCACCACACUAUGUCUAUGCAUCACCACCUCCACCACACUAUGUCUAUGCAUCACCACCUCCACCUGUCCAUUCCCCACCUCCACCACAUUACAUCUAUUCCUCACCUCCUCCCCCUCACUACUAAAUAGUGGUUUAGCUGAUCAACCAUAUUGGUAAGCUUCUUGGUACACCCUAUGUUAUUGUAACAUUAUUGAUGCACACUCAAGCAAACUUACACUCUUAUACUUAAUCCUUACUUAUAAUCACAAGCAAGC
rnacentral:lncRNA from 1 species